CGACCCCAGGUCAGGCGGGGUUACCCGCUGAAUUUAAACA
rnacentral:rRNA from 1 species